GUCUCGAUCUCCUGACCUCGUGAUCUGCCCGUCUCGGCCUCCCAAAGUGCUGGGAUUACAGGCUUGAGCCACCGCGCCCGGCCCAGAAUCCAUUCUCUUAACCACUGUGCUGUCACUUGAGUUGUUCAUUGGAUGGUGAGUGGAUGGGGAAAUGUUAUUAUGGUUCAACUAUUAUUAGUUGUUGAUUCCGGGCAAGCCACUUACCCUUCUAGGUCUGCUUCUUUGUUCAUUAAGUGGGGAGCAGGGUUCUUGUGAGGAUUAGAUGGGAGUGAUGGUAUAAAGGAGAUUGCAAACCCUGUCCAGAGUCAUCACCUUGGAAGUGUCACCAUGGUAAUCAGAGUCUGUUAUUCCUACAGGGAGUUCCAUCCACAACUGCUCUGGAGGGGACAACGGGUGCCCUCAUUCCCCACAGGGCUCCCUACCUUCUCCGUCCAUACACACUGACAUGUGGGAAAUGAAGGCCUACCCUGUCAGGCUUUCACACUCUAGAAUGCAGUGAAUUUCUGCUCUUGGCAGCCCAUGAAAAGGACUAGAGUCCCCCAUGCUGUCCUUUGACCAUGGAAUACAGGAGAGUUUAACCUCAGGCCCUGCAGGAGAGUUGAGGCACGGUGUCCCUCCCACCCCAGGAAGAAGGGGGUGCUGCGCUUCAGACUCUGCGGCAGGAGCCUCUUUGCUGUCCUCUCCCCUGCUCCAUCUCUCCCUGUGACCUGCCAAGGUUGUCCAUCAAUGUGGUCCUUCCAGGUGAGCCCUGGGCAGAGACAGGUGGCAAGGGCAGAAGGCAGAUCUGGCGGGAGAAAGAACGUAGCCAGCACCAAGGCCAGCCCGAGCUGUGUUUGAGCAGCUGGGAGCAUGCAGGUCCUUUUCUUGAGGUGGACACACUGGAGAAGGGAAAGGUAGCUGGGGAAGAGAAUCCUUUCCCCAGAGACUGGCACUUGGAGACCACUGACUGAAUCCCUCAGGGCUUCUGUUUUUUUGUUUGUUUUUUCGUCUGUAAAAUCAG
rnacentral:lncRNA from 1 species